rnacentral:lncRNA from 1 species
CUGUGGUGUAGGCCAGCAGCUACAGCUCGGAAUAGACUCCUAACCUGGGAACCUCCAUAUGCCACGGGAGCGGCCCUAGAAAAGGCAAAAAGACAAAGAAAAAAAAAAGGAAUAUAUAUUGUGUGUGUAUAUAUAUAUAUAUAUUUGGAAUAUCUUUAUAUAUCUGUAUAUAUAGAGAGAGUGUGAGAAACAGGAUUAAGGGCUAGGAAAGAAUGAUACGGGGGGCGGCGGGGGGACCCAAGGAAGAGAAUGACAAGGGACCUGAUUUCAUCUCAGCACACCGACCCAGCAGUGGUCAAGGAUGACCUUCACCCCCGCUGCCCCAGACUGAGAUCCCAAAUCUCAGAACAGGACAGGCUCUUGCCCAAGGGCAAGGACGAGGCAGGAUGAAGGAACCAAAAAGCCAGCACAUCCCUCUGGCCCCGGCUCCUUCCAUUCUGGACACACUGGUCUCCUUGUUUCAUAAGAUUAUGGCCCAUUCCUGCCUCGGGGCCCUUUGCAGUUCCCUCUCCUGGAAUAUUCCACACCCCAGUGUUUCUGGGGCUUGUCUCUCACUCCACAGGGGCCUCUGUUCAUAGCAUCUCAAAGAGCCUCUUCCUUCUAUCCUUUGUCCUCCUCCCUUUCUUUCAGAGCCCAAGUCACCACCUUCAGGUUCUAUUAUACAUGUGACAUCGUCUGGCUCCGGACAGAGCAGUGUCUGGAACACACCUUCGCUAGGAGGUAUGGAACAAACAAAAGAAGACAAUUACCAAGUGGGAUGAAGACAAUUACCAAGUGGGAUGAGUGAAUAAAAGAUACAGGAAGUCUACAGAAAGACACAGGAAGAGGAGGCCACACCUAAAUGCUGGCAAGGGAGCAGGCAACAGGGUCAGACGCCAAGCCUCAGACCCCUCCUGGAUACGAACCAUCCCCUGCCUCAUCAGAGCCUGGGAAGAUUUCCUACUCGUGAGGCUAACGAAUCGCUCAGAACACAACCAUCUCAUUAAGCAAUUAGCUCUGGGAGCGCCAAGGCAAGGAAGUGACCUCACUGGCCGCUCGACAAGACACCGCCCUGCCGCUGGGGAGGAAGGUAACAGGGUAAUCAUGACCAUGGUGGGAGGGACAUUGAUGGUGAUGUCAAGUGACGGAAAAGGUGACGGGUGUCAGAUCUCUGUGAUGGUGGAGGAGAUGCUGGGGCUGGGAACUGACUUGAUGGUGGUGCAGGGGAUGGUUGAUGGUGGUGGCAGAUCACAGCGGUGAUGGCAAGGUGACAUUGGUAGUGAUGACUGACGGGGUAGACCCUGUGGCUGGGCUCCCUCAGCCUUCAUCCCAUCCUCCUCAAUGACAGGGAAGUUGGAAAGUUAGCAACGACAUAGCCCUCCCUUGUGGCGUUUACAUGUGGAUUCACUGGGGCAGAAUCUGGAUGGCAGAAGCGAGGCGGAGUCCUUUCCAAGCUUUGGUUUUCUAAUUUCUAAUAAUAGUAGAGCACUGCUGGAGUUCCUGUUGUGGUGCAGCGGAAACGAAUCCGACUAGGAACCAUGAGGUUGCGGGUUCGAUCCCUGGCCUCACUCAGUGGGUUAAGGAUCCAGCGUCGCCAUAGCUGUGGUGUAAGUCACAGAUGCGGCUCGGUUCCCACAUUGCUGUGACUGUGGUGUAGGCUGGCAGCUACAGCUCCAAUUAGACCCCUAGCCUGGGAACCUCCAUAUGCCGCAGGUGAGGCCCUAAAAAAAAAAAAAAAAAAAAAAGGCAAAAAAAAAUAAUAGAACAUUGCUGGCCACAUAAUAAGCACUAUCUACAAUUUGGUUGUUGUUACUUUUUUUUUUUCUUGCUCUCUUUUGGCUGUUUCUGCUGGCCAGCAAGAUUGCAGUGAACAGGUGGUUUUUCUGCCACAGUGUCCUGAUAUUGGGUCCAGCUUCCAG